GGAUGGUUCACUGGUAGAAUUCUCACCUUCCAUGGAGGAGACCCAGGUUCGAUUCCUGGUCC
rnacentral:tRNA from 1 species